rnacentral:rRNA from 1 species
AGCUACCUACGGGGGGCAGCAGUGGGGAAUAUUGCACAAUGGGGGAAACCCUGAUGCAGCGACGCCGCGUGAGUGAAGAAGUAUCUCGGUACGUAAACCUCUAUCAGCAGGGAAGAAAAAAAGUCUUUGGCUUUGGACGGUACCUGACUAAGAAGCCCCGGCUAACUACGUGCCAGCAGCCGCGGUAAUACGUAGGGGGCUAGCGUUAUCCGGAUUUAUUGGGUUUAAAGGGUGCGCAGGCGGAAGAUCAAGUCAGCGGUA